rnacentral:tRNA from 2 species
GGGCGAUUAGCUCAGUUGGCUAGAGCACUUCCUUGACAUGGAAGGGGUCGGAGGUUCAAGUCCUCUAUCGCCCACCA